rnacentral:pre_miRNA from 1 species
UUUAUUUUUUCGUGUCCAACGUUUGAUCAUUCGUCUUAUUUGAAAAUUUUGUACAAAAUCUUAAAAAAAUAGUCACAUAUAAAGUACUAUUCAUAUUUUAUCAUCUAAUAAUAAUAAAAAAAUUAAUCGUAAAAAAAUUUAAAUAAGACGAAUGGUCAAACGUUAGACACGGAAAAACA